UGUAUGACUUCCUCAAUUGGAGGGCUACGCUCAAUGGAGAGCAAUUUCCUGAAUUGUGUGGUUGCCUCAAGCUGUAAAUUACCAUCAUCAGACCAAACACCAGCAACCAUUGAUGGCAGAUGCUCCAACUUCUUCUCGACAGCAGAGGAGUGAAUCGAAGCUGGCAUAGGCUGGGCUUGUAGUCCCUCACGGCGCUUCUUCUGCAGGCUCUCCUCCCGACGAUUCUUCCGGAUCUCCACCAUGUUGUCUUCUCGCCUCCGGCGACCUUCCUCAGCAUCAACGGCGACCUUGUAUCUAUUCCUGCGGACCUCGGUCCUCGCGCUUGGCCUCAAAGACAUGAUUACUAAAUUUGAAUAAGUAUUGAUUGAUCGAGGGAUCGAAGAAACAGAGUUGAUUGAAGCAGAAAGAGAAAUUGAGAGUAGGGGUUUUGCAGAGGAAAACGGUUUGCGGGUUUUGAUUUCA
rnacentral:misc_RNA from 1 species